CAAUAGCGUAUAUUAAAGUUGUUGCAGUUAAAAAGCUCGUAGUUGGAUUUCUGGUCGGAAGCUCCUGUCCUCUGAUGAGCGUACAAGUGCGUCCUACCAUCCUUCUGUUAACCUUUAAGGCUUUCGCGGCUUUCUAGGGGCUCAGAUAUUUUACCUUGAGAAAAUUAGAGUGUUUCAGGCAGGCUAGCGCCGGAAUACAUUAGCAUGGAAUAAUGGAAUAGGACUUUUGCCUCUUCUGUUGGUCAUGAGGCUCGAGUAAUGAUUAAUAGGGAUAGUUGGGGGCAUUAGUACUUAACUGUCAGAGGUGAAAUUCUCGGAUUUGUUAAAGACUAACUUAUGCGAAAGCAUUUGCCAAGGAUGUUUUCACUA
rnacentral:rRNA from 1 species